rnacentral:tRNA from 1 species
GAAGAGGUGGCCGAGUGGUUGAAGGCGGUAGACUGUAAAUCUACUGAUAUAUAGUUCAUCAUAGGUUCGAAUCCUAUUCUCUUCA